GGUAUUUUUCCUGUACGAUUUCACAUGUGAUUUUUUUUCAUAUUAAAGAUAUAUCAUGGCAAUGCAUGGAAUAGAUAUCAAUGAAGUGUUUCAUCUGAUGAAAAUUUUAGUAACACCUGAAUUAAGAAAAGACAAAGAUGCUGGGUUGGAGCAAACAAAUUGUGUAUUUGAUGCAGCCUUAAGUCUUGGCCUAAAAGCAUUUUGGGAAUCACUAGAAAAAAAAAGUUCAGAAUUCAAGGAAGUUUUCCAAAAAAAUAGAAACAGACUGAAACACAAGUACAGAACUGAUUCCACUCUGCAUACAUAUCUAGAAGUGUGUCUAGUUUUGUUGUAUACACUUCAUGUUGCCCUGAAAGAAAAGAUGUCAGAAUUUAAGAAGACGGAACAGAAGAAUUUGAAACCAAAUGAGGCCCCUCCUCUUUCUCCAGACAUCUUGAGUGUGGGCCAACAGAAGACUGUCCUUUCAAUUCUCCAGUUCACUGUGGUUCUAGGACUCUGUCCUCAUCUACAACCAGGAAUCGGUAUCCCUAUAGAGAGGCGGUCGGAGUUUGGGAAACUCCUGUUGGAGUCUUCAAUGUUGACUGCUUUGUCUGGUCAUGAGCAUUAUGUGUCUCUUCUUCAGACUGUGUGGGUGCUGAUGACUUGCUUAGAUUCUCCCUCCCUGGGGCAGAUUAUACUGUCCCGUCAUCUUAAUGACAUUCUGGCUGCUUUAUUACAACUUGUUCAUGGGAAACAGACGGCUGUUGAUAAAAACAAGACAUCUCCAGAGAUAUGUAUAGGAGCUGAUCACAGGGAGGAGAAAGGAACAGCCAAGGAGAGUGGGAGCUCAGGAUCUGGAAGCUUGACUCCUGCUUCUGUGGUUGAUAUGGUUACUCAAAAAGGGAGAAUGGAUUUCACAAAUGGGACAGAGGCAGAGAUAAAAAAGAAUGAAUCAGACAAUCAAUUUUACAAAACAGCAGAUAAAGUGGACAACAAAACAAAAGAUGAGACAUUUGUAACCAGUUCUGAUGUGCAACAAUCUAAAUAUGAUGGUCACGGUCCAUCGCCUUCUGACCAGUGGAUGGUAGACACCUCAUUUUGUGAGGAAUCUCUUGCUGAUCUCACCAAGAAGGUCCAUCCUUCAUUGCUGGUCCGAGAACUUCUGAUUCUGCAAGGUGCUCCAGGACCAAGUUUUACUAAAAAGCAAUCUGUGAAUCGUAAAUUUGCACUGAGUCAGUCACCACAAUGGCUGAGGAAGGUGUGUGGUCGAAUGUUAUCCAACAUUUUAACUGGACCCAAUGGAGUUCUCAACAUCAUUAAAGGGAUGCUGGGAAAUGUUCCAGAUGACAGUAGCUGUGGUCCCCCGGACUGGAGAAAGUUUGAUGCUGUCGCAAAAGUGAUUGCUACCUGUCCUUCCAACAUUGAAUCACUCGAAGAAUACUACCAGAAAAUUUCAACGCAGAUUUUGCAGUUGCUGCAUCCCCAGGACAGACAGAUAGGUCGUGGUUUGCUCCGUGUGGCCUGUACAACGAUUUCUUCCAUGACGGCCCAAAACACAUCACUGGCAGAGAAAUAUCUGAUUCAACCUAUGUGUCGACCCCUCUUAAACAGCACAGAAUAUCAUGAAACAAGUCAAGAAAAGCAAUUUAUCAUAGCAUCUGAAGCAGAAAUUCGAGACUGCAUUGAAGGUCUUCAUAAGGUGUUUAUCGGGGGAGUGGAACCAUGCAGUUUUCUGUACACGUCCUUACUUCCUGUUUGCCAGCCUCUUUUUGAGCUUUUGUGUUUCACAAGGAAAGGACCUUCACAUUUAAGUUCCUCAUCACAAGAAUUACUGGUAUCUGUGCUGAAGAAUAUGGACCAACAACUCUGUUUGUCUGUUUUAAAAUUCCUACUGUUACAAGAUAAUACAGACCCUGGUGUGGAAUCCUUGAAGGUCAUACAUCCUAAUUUGACCUUUGCAGCAGGAGGCCAGGGUGGUGUAGUCUUAGUAACAAGACUUGAAAGUGAUACCAGUGAGAAAGACUACAUCAGAGUUGUAGGGGCUAUGGUGGACAUCCUCAAGCCUCUACAGCAGUCAGGGAUAACUGGGGAUUUCCUUAUCUUCACUUUACAGGAACUCCAGAGGAUAAUACACCAUGAAAUCUCCAAUGAGGUACCAGGACCUCAAGAAUCCUUUUCUGCUCCUUCAGAUUCCUCAAUGUUCUGGCCCAGCUAUGUGAGGACCUAGGGCCUAGCUGUAUCAAGAGCCCCUCACAAACACUCCGGUUUGUACAGGCAACCUUAGAAAGGGCCAUACAGAUCUGCAGCCAAUCAGAUGAUGAGAUGACUGGCUAUUUUGAAAGCGAGACUCUAACCAUGGCAAUGGGAUUGUUGACUGCCAUGUUAUCUGGUGCUGUUAAGAUGAAUGAAAAAGACAGAGAUGAUAUGCAGAUUCUGAUGCCUCUACUGGACACAGUCAGCAAAGUUCACUCUGACCUUACUGUACAGGAAAUGGCCUCUGACCUCAGAAUUGCCAUAGCAACUCAUGGUGCUGUGUGGUCUGACAAGUUACAGAAGAAGGUAUCAAAGACCAAAGACUCUCCAGAGCCAGAGGACAGAAAAGCCAAACCUCUUAUUGAGGAGUUGUCUGACAAAACUCAAUCUUGUAACAUCAGUGAAAAAACAGACAGGAGUCGUGAAAGAAAUAACAAUAAAAAGUCAGAGCUGGAACAAGCAAUGGAGGAGAUUUGUGACCCCUUAAUUCCCGUCAGAGGUCAUGCUCUGAUUACCAUGUGCCGCUUGAUGAAGCAGAGGGAUCCAGAAGCUGUGAGUAAACAGGGAAUGAUCCUGAAGAUCUUCCAGGAGAACUUGAGUCAUCCGGACUCCUAUCUCUACCUGUCAUCCGUCAAUGGGUUGGUAGCCAUGGCAGACAUCUUCCCUGACAUUGUCAUACCUUGUCUUGUCCAGGAGUUCAGAGGAAGUGUAUCACAGAAUACAGACAAAAGUGGAAAGUUACCGGGUCAAACUGGUGGCAAGCAUGGUGCAGAGACCAGGAUGAAGGUGGGGGAGUGCCUAGUGCAAACCUCCAGAAAUCUUGGUGAUCUGGCACCAAAGUAUAGAGACCUCCUUUUAUCAGCCUUCUUGGUGGGAGCCCGAGAUCCUGACCCACUGAUCAGAGCUAGCAGUAUGUCCAAUGUAGGGGAGGUCUGCUCGGUGCUUAGGUUUAACCUGGGACCCAUCAUUCAAGAGGUUUUUGCCUGCUGCAGUGCUUUGUUGAAGUCCGAUUCCGACGCUGAAGUUAGGAAGGCCUCGGCAAUGACCCUCGCUCUGACACUGAGGGGUCUAGGGAAAAGUGCCAUUCAAAUUUUGGAUUCAGUGAUGAGGGAAUUAUACCAGCUGCUGAAGUUGACAUUGAAAUCAGAGAAAGAUGAAGGAGUACAGAGACAAAUUGUGCUGGCCCACAACGAGUUGGAGGACAUCAUGAAGGAAGUGUUGUUUCCUAAACAGGUCUUACAGAAGAAAAUACGAAUUCGUGAUGCUGAAUUUUAAUAAUCCACUCUUGAUUGUGAAUAAACAAAAUAUUUUGACAAAUGCUGCAUAUGUCAUGUUUUCAAGUUAAAUGGGUAGACACCAGUACAAUAGAGAUAUCAAUUGAUGUUUUAAAGUUCAGUGAGCAUGCUAUACACAAAUACAUUAUG
rnacentral:misc_RNA from 1 species